rnacentral:rRNA from 2 species
GUGCUUGCAUCAUGAUUUACAUUUGAGUGAGUGGCGAACUGGUGAGUAACACGUGGGAAACCUGCCCAGAAGCGGGGGAUAACACCUGGAAACAGAUGCUAAUACCGCAUAACAACUUGGACCGCAUGGUCCGAGUUUGAAAGAUGGCUUCGGCUAUCACUUUUGGAUGGUCCCGCGGCGUAUUAGCUAGAUGGUGAGGUAACGGCUCACCAUGGCAAUGAUACGUAGCCGACCUGAGAGGGUAAUCGGCCACAUUGGGACUGAGACACGGCCCAAACUCCUACGGGAGGCAGCAGUAGGGAAUCUUCCACAAUGGACGAAAGUCUGAUGGAGCAACGCCGCGUGAGUGAAGAAGGGUUUCGGCUCGUAAAACUCUGUUGUUAAAGAAGAACAUAUCUGAGAGUAACUGUUCAGGUAUUGACGGUAUUUAACCAGAAAGCCACGGCUAACUACGUGCCAGCAGCCGCGGUAAUACGUAGGUGGCAAGCGUUGUCCGGAUUUAUUGGGCGUAAAGCGAGCGCAGGCGGUUUUUUAAGUCUGAUGUGAAAGCCUUCGGCUCAACCGAAGAAGUGCAUCGGAAACUGGGAAACUUGAGUGCAGAAGAGGACAGUGGAACUCCAUGUGUAGCGGUGAAAUGCGUAGAUAUAUGGAAGAACACCAGUGGCGAAGGCGGCUGUCUGGUCUGUAACUGACGCUGAGGCUCGAAAGUAUGGGUAGCAAACAGGAUUAGAUACCCUGGUAGUCCAUACCGUAAACGAUGAAUGCUAAGUGUUGGAGGGUUUCCGCCCUUCAGUGCUGCAGCUAACGCAUUAAGCAUUCCGCCUGGGGAGUACGGCCGCAAGGCUGAAACUCAAAGGAAUUGACGGGGGCCCGCACAAGCGGUGGAGCAUGUGGUUUAAUUCGAAGCUACGCGAAGAACCUUACCAGGUCUUGACAUACUAUGCAAAUCUAAGAAGAUUAGACGUUCCCUUCGGGGACAUGGAUACAGGUGGGGGCAUGGUUGUCGUCAGCUCCUGUCCUGAAAAGUUUGGGGUUAAGUCCCCGCAACGAGCGCAACCCUUAUUAUCAGUUGCCAGCAUUAAGUUGGGCACUCUGGUGAGACUGCCGUGACAACCCGAGGAAGAGGGGGGGGGAUGAAAAUCAAAAAAAUUAUGGCCCCCUUAUGACCGGGGGUGACACCUGGUUUCAAUGGAAGGGGGA